rfam:Brachypodium distachyon strain Bd21 chromosome 3, whole genome shotgun sequence.
CUGCUACUCCCUCUGUCCAAUAAAAGAUGUCUCAAAUUUGUCAAAAUUUGGAUGGAUCUAUGCAUUAAGUAAUGGAUAGAUGCAUUCAAAUUUGGUCAAAGUUGAGACAUGUUUUGUUCGACGGAGGGACUAUAAG